rnacentral:rRNA from 1 species
AUUGAACGCUGGCGGAAUGCUUUACACAUGCAAGUCGAACGGUAGAGGGGGCAACCCCUUGAGAGUGGCGAACGGGUGGGUAAUAUAUCGGAACGUGCCCAGUCGUGGGGGAUAACGUAGCGAAAGUUACGCUAAUACCGCAUACGAUCUAAGGAUGAAAGCGGGGGAUCGCAAGACCUCGCGCGACUGGAGCGGCCGAUAUCAGAUUAGGUAGUUGGUAGGGUAAAGGCCUACCAAGCCAACGAUCUGUAGCUGGUCUGAGAGGACGACCAGCCACACUGGAACUGAGACACGGUCCAGACUCCUACGGGAGGCAGCAGUGGGGAAUUUUGGACAAUGGGCGAAAGCCUGAUCCAGCCAUUCCGCGUGCAGGAUGAAGGCCCUCGGGUUGUAAACUGCUUUUGUACAGAACGAAAAGGUUUCUAUUAAUACUAGGAGCUCAUGACGGUACUGUAAGAAUAAGCACCGGCUAACUACGUG